rnacentral:rRNA from 1 species
AUGACGAAGAGAUUACAACAACAACAGUCGCUACAGAUCAAUCGACAGGGGAAGAACAGCAGAAGACCAGAGAUUGCACUGUACCUUCUUCUUCAGAGAAGAUCAGCAGCGAAGAACAGCAGGUCAGCACGAGCACGAGCUCCACCAGCAAGCAUGCAGCGUGGGCGAGCGUACACGCACCCGAGCGUGGGUGAUACUCCAAUGGCAGCGGCGCCGGUUUUUGGUCACCGGAGGAGCUUACUGACGAGCUCCAAUGGCAGCGAGCGGCAGACCACAACGGCCAGGCGAACCAGCAACCAAUCGACAGGAGAAAAGUGA